rnacentral:rRNA from 1 species
GGACCCGACUGCUAUCGGAUUGAGAUUUAGCCAUGCGAGUCGAACGUCCCCCUGUUGCGGGGGGCGUGGCGUACGGCUCAGUAACACGUAGUCAACCUGCCCUGGAGACGCGGACAAACCCGGGAAACUGGGGCCUAUCCGCGAUAGAUGGCCUCAUCUGGAAGGAGAGGCCGUUGAAAAGGGCGCACGGGUAUGCUCUAUGCGCACCGCUUUAGGAUGGGACUGCGGCCGAUCAGGCUGUUGGCGGGGUAAUGGCCCACCAAACCUGUAACCGGUACGGGCUUUGAGAGAAGGAGCCCGGAGAUGGACACUGAGACAAGGGUCCAGGCCCUACGGGGCGCAUCAGGCGCGAAAACUUCGCAAUGCGCGAAAGCGUGACGAGGCUAGUCCGAGUGCCCCCUGCUAAAGGGAGCUUUUCUCGGCUGUAAAUAGGCCGGGGAAUAAGGGGAGGGCAAGUCUGGUGU